UGGACAAUGACAGAUUUCAUGUUUUAAUAGGAAAAUCACAUCAAAUGCAUGUUAAAAAUGACUGGAAAUAUAUUCAGCAAAAACAUACACAUUUUGCAACAAUUUUAGCUUUUCCAAGUUGCAAGAUAUGACUAAAAUGAUACUAAAUCUCUAAGAAGAAAAAACUGCUAAAUAAUUUGGGCAAAAUUUAUUGUUUUUAGCAAAGUGAGUAAAAGGCAUGUGAAUAAAAGGGAAAAAAAAGAGGAAAAUGUUAUAGUUCCAAAACAUGUCUGGAGGCAGCCACAGUCAGUGAAAAUUAUAUAUUAUCAAGAACAUGCAUGCCACCUUCGAUACAUCGAAAACUCUAAACUAUCCAAUGCUUCGAUAUAUCGAAAGAAUGCCAUUUCUUCGAUAUAUCGAAAGAAUGCC